rnacentral:hammerhead_ribozyme from 1 species
AUUCAGUUGACGAGUUCAAAAUAGGACGAAACACGCGUCCUAGAU